rnacentral:lncRNA from 1 species
GCACUUCUUAAAUUUAAUUGUAAUACUUAAAAGCCAUCUCACAUUGAGGUAGAAUUGAAGAAUUUGAAUACUAAAACAACAUUGACAAAUGUCGAUAUGGACUUGAUGACAUGAUUUAGCUUAGGUUUCAAACUUGCAUAGCAAACAAUGUUACCAACUGUGGUUGAUUUUGCAUACAAAUUUCAAAAAAUAGAUUUUCAUCUUGAAAAUGGAAUGGAUUUUAAAUUCUGGGAUGUUUUCCUUGACAUUUAUUGAUGUGGAACAAUGUCUUAAAAUCCAGGACUGUCUAGGAAAAUCCAGAACAAGUAAUCACCCUUGCUUUGUUCAUAUGAGAUUUUUGUCUGCAUGGACUUUUAUAUAUUGUGAUUUUGUUUUUGGGCUUUUGUCAUUUGAGUUUCUGUCUGGCUCUGAAUAGCAAUAUGUUAG